ACCAGAGUAUUCUUUCAACUAUUCCCGUAGCCCCUCUAGAGCUGGAGUUUCUAGGCUUCUUUUCUUUAUAAAAGAGGCAACAGAGUAACGUCAUAGGAUAGAUAAAAAAAAGGGGGGAAGGGAGAAGUGGUUCACAGGUCAUUCCUUGGCUUAUAAAACUUGAGAUAUCUGAUUAGUUGAGAGCUGAGACCAAGGCAAUGAAGUUCUUGGUUCAAUGCCCAUGUUGCUCAUGCUUCUGCUUCAUGAAGGCCAAGAAGAACAAGCCCAAGGAGAAGGAAACCAAAGGUGAUUGAAAGCAUCAAUAUAUUGCAUUCGUUUUAGCUUUGAUUAUGUAAAGAGCCUUCCAAAAUGUUGGAAGCUCCUUUGGAAAGAAUGCUUCAAAUGUACUUCAUCAAGUGAAUAUGAAAUAAUCUGAGAUCUUCUCUCAGAUGUAAUGUAUGACUUGUUAGUCAUUUGUUUCUUAGCCCUUUGAUGAUUUGUCCUUCUUCACCAUUAUUGUUUGAUCAAUAACCAGACUGAGCUGCAGAAGAAAAUUUCAGAAGAAAUUAAGGUCAAAAAAUCUUAGAAGAGGUCAUCUUUUUGCAACUCUUUACAAUGGUUGGAUGCUGUUUACAGUUCUGGUGUUUGUUUAGUUAGCUUGCAGGUUGAAAUGGUUUCCAAAAGCCAAAAGCAUGAGCUAUGGGAUAUACCAACAAGGAAGAGAGAAUAUAGCUAUUUUCAACUAAAUUCCUUUUUCCAAAUAUAUGGAGCUGCAUCUCUAACAUUAGAUGAGACAGUUCAUAUGCCAAGGAUUUUCGGAUAAAAAUUCUGUGAAUUUUAGCUGUUUCUUCUUGACCAAAAGCUUAGGAGACUUUGCAUUUUGUUUUGUGCACAUGUUAUGAAUGCCAC
rnacentral:lncRNA from 1 species